CCCAGGAGCCAUAGCAGCCUGAGGACUCCCCAGCUUGGAAGCUAAGCAGAUUCAGAUCUGGCUGGGGCUUGGAUGGCAGACCACCUGGGAAGAUCGUGAGCUGGAAGCUUUUGGCU
ensembl:rRNA 5S_rRNA 5S ribosomal RNA